CCUUUAACUAGCAGUGCUGCCGAGUGUCCGGCAGAGGGCGCUGUGCUGCUUGUGCUAUACACGUGGGAAUGGCUGCUCGGUCCCGGUGUUCGCUCAGCUUCCUCCAUACAGGAUGGGGGUUCAGGGACCGAUCCGAUAUACCGAGCUCCAGCCGGGGGCCGGACACACUGCUCCCUCCCUGAAUGAUCGGAAACCGACUGCAAGAUGUACCUGCUCCAUAGGAAGCCAUGAAUAAGGUAAGCUACCCUGAAUAACCUCUCCUGUCCCUUUGGAUCCCUGUUACUCUCCUGUCCCUUUGGCUGGCUGGAUCCCUGUUACUCUCCUGUCCCUUUGGCUGGCUGGAUCCCUGUUACUCUCCUGUCCCUUUGGCUGGCUGGAUCCCUGUUACUCUCCUGUCCCUUUAACUGGCUGGCUGGAUCCCUGUUACUCUCCUGUCCCUUUGGCUGGCUGGAUCCCUGUUACUAUCUGUAAAAACACGGGUUAAAUGGGGCCCAGAACUGCUUUAUAUAACUAGCUUGCACAUAGCUCCUGCUACAUUUCCAAACUUCUCUUGUAUUUCUGUCCUCACUAAACUUGGGUUAGUGCUGCUGGGAAUGAUGACAGAAAAGGCCGAAUUGCAGUUCUCUCUUUAGAGCAGGACAAUGACAAAUCCCCUUGAAGCGAAAACUGAACUGACCUCUGCAGCUUUUCUCUAGUUUAAAUUAAAGCUUCUCAUUUGAUCCAUGGACUAGGUAUCUUUACUGCUGGAUUCUAUUACUCCUGUGUAAGAUGUAACAAUACAUUUAUUUCUCCAUACAGGUAUACUGUGGCUGGUGACUUGCUGGUCCCAAUGCCAAAGCCUGCUUUAUGGAGUCCAUGCAAGAUGAUUAAUGUGUAGAGCUGACCAUCAGUGUAAGUACAACUUCUAGUCUGAUCUGAAUUGGAUGAAUGUAAUGUUCACUGGGGUUAAAGCCCCUGGUGCAGCCAUGUUCCAUAGGCUUCCUGAUGUCUGGGCAUGAGACAUGGUACUGAGGGAUGAUGACAUAAAAGGCCGAAUUACAGAGCCUCUCCAAGCAGUUCUCUCUGUGGAAGAGGCUCGAUGACAAAACUCCUUGAAGCGAACUCAAAACUGACCUCAACCAAACAUGUCUUAAACUCUUACAGAGUAACCAAUAACUGUGUGAAUGCCACUAAUAUAGAACCCUUAAUGCAGGCUUACCAUUGGCUCUCCGUUACUAUAAUGGGUAACAUGAUGCAGAGCAAGUGCCUGGUGCGACAUCACUGCUUUAGGUGUCCUGAGGCCAACUCGCAGGACUUCCUUCAACAUAGCUGAGACUAGCUGCAGUUGUCUGUGGGUUUUUUAAACCUCUGGGAGAACAUGGAAACUGAGUGAGUGGUUAAUAUAACCACUUACUCCGCACAGACCUGAAGCACAUUUUAUUGCUUUAAACUGGGAUGUAAGAAUGCUAGACUGGGCCGUACCACACAAUGAGUGACUCUGAAAGAUUGGCACAAUUUACCAUGAAUAGCCUACAACUUGUAUCUGUGGGACUGUUGGAGGAAUUGGCAGAGCCACCAACGUUUGCUCUUUGCUUAAUGCCAUUAAAGAUAUCUAAUCCAAAGACCUCAUUCUUGCAGAGGUUCCCACAGUUCAAAGACCAGGACAAGGCUUUCUCUGCUCUUAUUGGCAUUAAUUGCUCAUAUUCCCCUCCCUGAAUCUCAUGAAGUGUCAGACUUAAAGAUCUGACUUCUGUCUCUUAAUCAGCCUGUUACCAAGCUAUUGGCUUGGUUUGAAUGUAAACUGAGUGUUAUUCAGGUCCCUGGCUAAAAAUAGUUUUAUUUGGCUUAAAACCAAAUCUAAUGUCUGAACUAUGACUGCCAGAUUAACUGUAAAUAUUUUUUGCUCACUACUUUCUUUUUUUAAAAACUGUUUAUUUUGUUUACAGUCAUCUCAAAGGUCGUUCAUCUGAGCAAUAUGAUCCAUUGUGACAUCCCUGAUGGUAAAAUGACAAGAUUCCUGGAAAUUCAAGCCCCUCUAGAGUCUAUUAAGACCAUGCACUUCAAUUAAAACAGAUUUCUUUUUAUUUAAAUAAAUGUUUCGAAUUUUAUACUUUUG